rnacentral:rRNA from 1 species
UACGUAGGGUGCAAGCGUUAAUCGGAAUUACUGGGCGUAAAGCGUGCGCAGGCGGUUAUGCAAGACAGAGGUGAAAUCCCCGGGCUCAACCUGGGAACUGCCUUUGUGACUGCAUGACUAGAGUACGGGUAGAGGGGGAUGGAAUCCGCGUGGUAGCAGUGAAAUGCGUAGAUAUGCGGAGGACACCGAUGGCGAAGGCAAUCCCCUGGACCUGUACUGACGCUCAUGCACGAAAGCGUGG